rnacentral:rRNA from 1 species
GGGUUGUGAGGUUAAGCGACCAAGCGUACACGGUGGAUGCCCUGGCAGUCAGAGGCGAUGAAGGACGUGCUAAUCUGCGAAAAGCGCCGGUAAGGUGAUAUGAACCGUUAUAACCGGCGAUGUCCGAAUGGGGAAACCCAGUGUGAUUCGUCACACUAUCAUUAACUGAAUCCAUAGGUUAAUGAGGCGAACC